rnacentral:rRNA from 1 species
GACGAACGCUGGCGGCGCGCUUAACACAUGCAAGUCGAACGGAAAGGCCUGCUUUCCCUUGUGGAUUGCGGGUACUCGAGUGGCGAACGGGUGAGUAACACGUGAGUGAUCUGCCCCCAACUUGGGUAUAAGCCUGGGAAACUGGGUCUAAUUCCCGAUAGGACUGCAGGGUGGUGCCUGUGGUGGGAAACGAUUUUCUAGUGGUUGGGGAUGAGCUCGCGGCCUAUCAGCGUGUUGGUGGGGUAAUGGCCUACCAAGGCGGCGACGGGUAGCCGGCCUGGGAGGGUGGACGGCCACAUUGGGACUGAGAGACGGCCCAGACUCCUACGGGAGGCAGCAGUGGGGAAUAUUGCACAAUGGGCGGAAGCCUGAUGCAGCGACGCCGCGUGGGGGAUGACGGCCUUCGGGUUGUAAACUCCUUUCGACCGCGAGGAAGCCACCUGGUUGGAAGGGUGGUGACGGUAGUGGUAGAAGAAGCACCGGCUAACUACGUG